rnacentral:rRNA from 1 species
AACGAACGCUGGCGGCAUGCCUAACACAUGCAAGUCGAACGAGACCUUCGGGUCUAGUGGCGAACGGGUGCGUAACGCGUGGGAACCUGCCCUUAGGUUCCGAAUAACUCCCCGAAAGGGGUGCUAAUACCGGAUAAUGUCUUCGGACCAAAGAUUUAUCGCCUUUGGGUGGGCCCGAGUUGGAUUGGCUAGUUGGUAGGGUAAAAGCCUACCAAGGCGAAGAUCCAUAGCUGGUCUGAGAGGAUGACCAGCCACACUGGGACUGGGACCCGGCCCAGACUCGGGCGAGGGGGGGCAGGGGGGAAAAAUGGAGAGGGGGCGAAGGGCGGAGCCCGCCAGGCGGGGAGGGGGGUGAGGGCGUUGGGGUUAGAAUCCGCUUUUGCCCGGGAGGUAAAGACGGGAACGGGGAAAUAAGCACCGGCUAAAUACGGG